rnacentral:tRNA from 1 species
UGGAAUAUAGUAUAAAUAGUUAGUACAUUAGAUUUUUAAUCUAAAGAUGUGGGUGCAAUUCCCGCUAUUCCUG